rnacentral:rRNA from 1 species
UACAGGGGGGGCAAGCGUUGUUCGGAAUUACUGGGCGUAAAGGGCUCGUAGGUGGCCAACUAAGUCAGACGUGAAAUCCCUCAGCUUAACUGGGGAACUGCGUCUGAUACUGGAUGGCUUGAGUUUGGGAGAGGGAUGCGGAAUUCCAGGUGUAGCGGUGAAAUGCGUAGAUAUCUGGAGGAACACCGGUGGCGAAGGCGGCAUCCUGGACCGGCAUUGACGCUGAGGAGCGAAAGCUAGGGGAGCAAACGGG